UCCACUCCAUUAUAAAUAAUUUAUAUUAUUAAAAUUUUUUAUAAUAUUUCGACUAUUAUACUUUUAUAAUUAUAGUUUUUUUUAUACUCAUAAAUUUCGGCCCUUAAAUCUCUCUUUUUGGUCAUUUCUAUCCGUUAUAUCGUAUUAUUCAACCAACCACCUACUCAACUCUAAAAAAUCACUAUCAUUUUAACCGAAAACCACUAUUAUCCUAAUCGCACAUCCCUUCAUUCAACAGUCGAAAACUUAUGAGUACAAAAAGAUUUAUACUUAUAAGAGUAUAGUAGCUCUACUCCUAUUUAAAAAUCAAAUUUUAUAAUUUUUUUACAUCAUUUAUCAAGUGAGCAAAGAGUCCCAGAAAUGACUAUUUUAAUAGCUAACAUAGCACGGUUGUAAAAUCAACGGUGUAGAACAGUACAAAUUAGAUAAAAUUUUAAUAGUAAAUUCGACUUAUCAUCAAAAUUAAGAUUAAUAUUUCUGAUUUGAAAUUUAAAUUUUUUAUCACUACUUACGUGAAUUUUUAUUUUUAACUAAUUAUUUUGAGACUAUUCAUUUAUUAGAUAAAAAAAAAUUAAAAAAUAUAAAAUUUAAUUUUUAUAUAUUUUUAAUAUUGUAGGUCAUAUGUAACGAAAUUAAUAGAUGAAUCGAAUAUCCCGUAAUAAAAAAUAAUUUAUAAAUAUAGUAAAUUUUUUGUACUUUCGAAAGGGUAAAAAUCUAGCAUUUUUUAAGUAAGUUAAAGUAGUAGAUAAUAAGGGGCAAAUGGGAGAAUCCGAGGGGUUGGUAUUAUACUGGAUUGCUGCCAAGAGAAGCAGUUGUUAGAGCCGACAGCCCACGCUCUGAGAAGGCUGUUAAUUAUUGGGGGCGGCUCCUCGGGAACCACGUCCCGAGUGCAGACUGACAAAAGAAAGGACUGUGGUCUCUCUCAGACCAACCGUCCCUAGAGCAUGUGGUAAAAAAUUUAAUGAUUGGUAUCUGAGACCUAAAUUUGAAUUCUAAUUGUUUCACAUUUCUAGCUAAGUUUAUUUCUAAAUGAAAUAAACGAAGCGGGUAGCGUGCUACCUAUCUCUCUCUCAAAAAAAAAAAAGUUACUGUUCAACGUAUUGGAAUAAAAUUUUAUUUCGCAGCAGUUAUGGUACGUUUGUUUAACCCAAGUCAAAUUUAAGUUAAACAAAAAGUUCAAGUGAAUUUAAAUUUAGAUAAAACUUAAUUUUUUUUUUACUGUUUAGUUAUACUGCAGUGUAACUAAAAGUUUUACGGUUAUGUUAUUUAUUUGGUAAAAAUAAAUAGCAUAGAUGUGAAAGAUACAUUUUUUUUUCUUUUUUGAGUGGCCCGAAAUCAAUUACAUUAUUUUAACGAUUCAACUUUCGAUUGAAAAUAAAAUUACAGUGAAUCAAACAAUAGAAGUGAGUGUUUAUAGUCGAAAACUAUUUCACGGUCUCUUUACUUACAAGAAAACAAAUACAAAAGGAAUCAACAAUGAUAGAGCACGUAGUUUUAUGUUGGAUAAUAAUAUCUUAAAAAAACCUACUAUCCUAUUUUUGGACAAUACGAAGAUUUUUAGUUGACUAUUUUUUAUUCCGAUAUGAAAAAAUUAUAAUUACCGACGUGUUAUUUGGUGGUGAGUUCAAACUUGUUAACAUUUUGUCAAAAGGUACCGACCGUCCCUAGAGCAAAUGGCAAAGGGCUUGGUGGUUGGUACCCGAGAUUCAAGUUCGAAUUCUAGUUGAUUCAUACAUCCAGCUACGUUUAUUUCUAAAUGAAAUAAAUGAAGCAGGUAGCGUGCCACCUAUCUCUCAAAAAAAAAAAAAAACAUUUUGUCAAAAGGUUUUGUAAGGCAUUAUCAUAUACAUAAUAAUAAGUAAGAUUUUAUGCUGUAAAAACCAAUUCGAGCCCAACCAAGUUAGAUUUGGAUGGACACAAUCGUAGCCCAACAUAUAUGGGCCUAAAACUUAACCUUGCCUAACCCAAUGGGCCAAAUUACAUGGGCCUUGGGCUUGGACUUCAAGAAAUAAUCUGGAAUCAAACUUAACAAAAUGAACCAGGAAAAGUCAUGGAAAAAAGGAAUGCUUUGUAGGAGGAACAUAAAAAAGAAAAAAAAAAGAAAAAAAAAAGAAGUAGAAGAAGAAGAAGAAGAAGAAGAAGAUAUUGCUUGGAAUCAUCUUUGGUAUUUGAUGUAUUGACAACUGAGAGGAUUAGAUUUACUGUCGAGUUUACAUCGGUUCGCCGGAGCAUUUCGGUAGUAAGGCAAGUGGUUGGGUGAGAGCGAGUAUCCUGUCAUGUGGCAGGAGAUUGGGUUGGACCGAGUCGUAUUCAAAGUGGAGAGCUUUUGAGAUUAAUAAUUAGCAACAACGAUCCUACAAGGCGCAGGUUCGAAUCCCCUAAACCUAAGAUGAUACUUGAAAUUAUUGCAGGUUCGAAGUGGGGAGCUUUUGAGAAAUUCGCUACUUGAAUUUGACUCAAAAGCAAUGUACUUAAACGAAGAUUAGUCAAGCACUUAAAAUUAUUCCAAAAAAAGAAAAAAUAUAUAAAAAUAAAAACCUAUGCAGAUAUAUUAUAUCGUGCUAAGAUUGAACCUAGGCCGUACAGUAUCCUUCACCCUGGUCCCAGCCCUAUAAAAUGUUACUAGCUCUCCUAGCGUGAAUAUUAUUUCUCAAAAAUCAAUUUGAUGGUUGUGAGAAUCUCUAACCUAAUGUACAACUCAUAUGUGAAUUCUUAUAUAUGACUAGAUUCACAUUUGAGUCUCUCUCUCCCUUGUGCGCGCAUAAUUUAAGCUAAUAGGGAGUUAAUGUUGUUUAUAAUUUACACUCAACACUCUCCCUCUUAUAUAAUAUUUUGACUAUAAACGCAAAACACAAGUUUUAAACAAUUGAGAGAAAAUUUAACAAAGCUAAUGUAAAAUGUCUAAUUAAUGUGAUUUAAACUCAGAAUCUCCUAUAACAUAAUCUUAUAUAUAUAUAUAUGAUAUAAUCUUAUAUUUUCUAACAAUUAAAUGAUAGAGAACAGCUGUUAAUCAUAUAUACUCAACAUAUCUCUGAUCUCUCUCUCUGGGUCAAAUAUUAGGUGAAAGUGUGGGUAGAACAGUGGAAGGACAUUGUAUAUUUAUACAUAUAUGAUCAUGAGUUGACAAUCUUACUCAUAGUUUGGAAAAGUUGAAUGCACCAUGCAUAUAAGAGUUGGGACAAAAGAGAGAGUAGUAAAUAACAAGUCUUCUUUUGGUCCAUUUUAUAGUAGCAAAAUGAAUUGAUUAUGUCCACUCAAAAAAGGAAUCCAAAAUUAGGAUCCAUAUGGAGAGCUGGGAGUGGUGGGGUUAAAGAGGAAGUUGGUUAAUUGGUCCUGAACUAGAUUUUCCUGAGGAAAUAUUAACAAUAAUUUGAUAAGGGCUCCACUUCUUCAUGAUAUCCUAUUGCUUUAGUUUCUUUCCUUUGACAUUCUAGUAUUAUCCAAGCCAUGCAUGAGAUUCCAUUCAUGGUAAUUAUGACCACUUUGGGCUACAUAUAUCAUAUGUGUGAGUGUUAUGCUUCAAGUAUAGUUUUGUUUGUGUCCUUCUAUAUUUGCUUUUUAUUCGAUAAAACUUUCUCCCCCCAAUUUUGAAAAGGCAAAGUUACAGUGACAAAUAAUGCGGAUCAAUUCUAAUGUGUGAUUGUUGAUUAAUCAAAUAGUUUGAUCUGUCAAUAACAAAUUUCGCUCUGUUAAUCUAUCGUUGCGUGAGCAUAUCUAAAUGAUUAGCCUACUCGAUAACUCUUCAAAUAUGGCCAUCUCUCUCUCUCUCUCUCUCUCUCUCUCUCUCUCCAAAUAAAGAAAAAGUUGAAACAAAAUGAUGAAACAAGAGAGGGGCAACAUUUCAAAGGAGAUUGCAUAUUAAUAAAAUGGAAGGAUGCGUGAGUGGAAAUUGUUUUGUCCUGUGAGACAAGAAUGUUGUCCUUGAAAUAAUCUUUGCUUCUGUUAGGGAGCUUUAGGGCACAAGCAAACAUGAGUAGGGGUUAUUUGAAGCUUUAUCUAUGUUCCUCUAUGGUACUUUAGGUUUUUAAGUCUCCUAAUAUUGCAAAGACACGAGAGAGGUGCUUAACAAAGUAAAGUCACAGUUUGUCCUUACUAUGUUUAAAAGCUUGAGAGUAGUACUAGUGAACUUGAUGGAUAGCCUUUGUAAUCUUUUUUGAGAUGACAAAUAGUGCCCAAGGGUCACUAUUUAGGUCUUGUUUUGAUUACUAUGGUUGGUAGAGAUAUUAUUUUUACCAUGAGCUACAUCUCGUCCAAUCUUAACAUAAUUUCUGUCACGUGGCCGGCCAGUGGCAAACUACAUUGGAGUAGGGUGAAGCCCUUUUACGGCAUGUUUUGCUUUGUUAGAAGAUGUUAUAUAGUUCAAUCAAUAUGUUGUUUGAAUAGUGCUUUUAGAUAUCUCUCAAAAAAAAAAAAAGUGCUUUUAGAAAAAAUAACUAAAUCAAAAUCUCUUUCACAUCUUCUCCUUACGGCAUAAUCAUAAAUCCCUUAUUGGAGGUUUUACAUACUUUUAUAUCAACUCAAUAUCUCAAUUCUACGUUCAAUACCCUGUCAAAAUUUUUAACCUUUCUUAGUUUACCUAAUGCUAGCCAACUUUACUCAGGAUAAUUGUUGCUGAAGGCAGAAGCAGAAAUAAAAAUAAAUAUGCACUACCUUUGAAAAAUAUCUACUGUAAAUUUAUAUUUUUAUGAACAUCACGGUAUACAAAAAUAAAAAUAAAAAACCUCAACCCUCGCAACCCUUCUUAAUUGAUUCAAAAGCAUUAGGUGUUGGAGAGAAAGAGAAGGUGAUAAGAAGUUUCAUACAUCUCACUUUAUUAAUAUGAUGGCUAGGCCACCACUUAAUACUGCAAAAAAAUUGUUGAUUAGGGUGGCACAAGGUUGGCAAAUAUGCCCUAUAAGAUGGAGGUAUAUAGUUUACCACUAGAUCCUAAAUUAGGGUUAAUUUAGUGCACAAAAGUCGUUUUCUUUUGCUUUGGAUAGGAUAAACCACAUUCCUUGAAGGGCUUAAACUAACCCUAGAUAUAUAGAUAGUGGAUACUUCUAAAUUGCCAAGUAACCCAUCAAAUUUAAUUCGUUACUUACCACAUCCUAGCAAUAUAGUUUGUGAAAGAUAAAGGCUAGCUAGGGUUUAAAAAAGUUAGGGUUUUCCCAUAGCAACUUAGCUUUGACCAUUGGACCCUAAAGUAGGUUUGAUUUAGAAGUAUUUCUUUUGCCUUGGAUAUGAUAAACAACACACCUUGAAGGGCUUAAAAUUAUAAUAACCCUAGAAGGGUCUAGAUAGUGGAUAUUCCAAAUUGCCAAGUAACCCAUCAAAUUUAAUUUGCUAGUUACCACACCCUAGUAGCAACAUGUAUAGGUUGCCUAAGAUCAAGGCUAGGGCUUUGAAGUUAGGGUUUUCACAGAGCAACUUAGCUAAGACUUGACAAGAUGCCAAAUAUGAGAGGACAUGUGUUUCAUUAUAUUUAGUCAACAAACAAUCCAUGAUUGGGUUGGGGAUUGUAUGUCCCCAAAGCCCAAGCAAGUGGGGCACAUGGCUUGGAACUAAAUUAGGGUUUUAGCUCAAAUAGUGCCCUAACCCUAAGUAGGGGGGAAAAAAUUAAAAACAAAGUUGCUUGUAAAACAAUGGCACAAGGCUUUGAAUGUGGCAGUCCUUGUGCAAAACAGUGCAUGCAUGUUGUAAUGCCUAGGAGUGUAAAAGUCAUUGUAUAUAUUUAAUAUAUGGAGUAACUUAUAUAAAUAGUUGAGACCAUCCUUGAGAUUUACCAAGUUAUUACAAGGAAUUACAGUGAGAUUUAACAUAAUUUGAAUAUUUAGAAGCUUUUCUGGUGCAGUAAUGAACCUACUUUUAGCUUUUGCAAUUUGGGUCUUUUUUUUUUAAACAAAAAAAUUAGUUCCAAACUACUUUUAUUUAUCUUUAUAUUUCCUUCUACAAUUAUCCAAACAUGAACUUUCUCGCUCUAAAAAAAAAAAGAAGAAAAGGGAUAGGGGAAUUAAAAGGGUGUUUUGAUCCAUGAAAUACUGAACCUAGUGUUUAUAACAACAAAACGGCAAGAUAAAAAAUGCGUACGUAGACCUUAUUUGAACUAUAUCAACCUUAAUAAGUCAUAAAUUUUACCAGCUAAUUUAAUAAUGUUUAUAAAUAGAUACCUGAAUUUAGAAAAAUUUUAUAUUGUUAACUAAUUUUGCAGCUCAAUUUCUUCGAUAUUUGGCUUACAAACAUUAAGCAAUAGUGGAUCCCGAAGAAUAGGAAACAGGGUGCUUUAAUUAACUAGCUCUUGAAAGAUGUACGCAUUUGCUAUAACUAAUUAAGCUUCAAGUUAAGCGGAAUAACUCGAUCUUAGAGUUCUCCUAGUAAAAUCUAUAGCUCAAGAUUUUGUGUCGAGGAAAUGCUCGACGGCUUCUAUUGUUCCUUUAUUUCAAGGGCUGUUUUAGAUGAGAAAUCGUGGGUCGAACUUAGUGAGCAUAUGAAGGUAGAAAUUUAGUAUGUUUGGCGCUCGCACAUCAAAAUCAUGGAUCUUGCUGAACCCUACUACUCACAAGUCGGCUCAUGUUCUCGCAACUCACGAUAUUGCUCUCUAUCGGGACGGCAGCAAGUUCUCUCUCAUAUAGCCUCCACUCUGUAAAAUUACUGAGCUUGGAUUCAUUAUUAUCAAAUAGAUUCUAAUCACACAUCAAAACGGAAUCCUCUCUCACUCUGUCGUACACUUAAAUGUCUAGGAUAUAUAUAUCAUAUAUGAAUCUCUAAAGCUGCAAUAGUGAUCCAAGAGCGUGACAACUAAUAUUCAUCUCAGCUUCACUAAUUACAAGAUUCGAGUACAAGAAGAUGAAUAUCCAAAAGAUCACUAAAUAACCAUGUCGUACAAAAAAUUAAAUUAGUCCAUUGAUCAUGUUGUUCGAGCCAUUAAUAAAAUUCCUAAUUAAUGGACCAUCGUUUAAUCGAUGAACUUGUAAAAUGGUCAAUGCUAAACAUGUAGUAUGCGGCAUAAAUUUAUCAGUUAACUUUAACUACCAAAUUUUCCUUUUUAUUUACUUUUUU
rnacentral:lncRNA from 1 species